rnacentral:rRNA from 1 species
GGAUCCCAUCAGAACUCCGAAGUUAAGCGUGCUUGGGCGAGAGUAGUACUAGGAUCCCUGACCUCCUGCGAAGUCCUCGUGUUGCAACGUGCGCGGAAUAUAUUAAGCACGGUUCCUUAUUUCCGACUUCUUGUGCUGAUCAGUUUGAUAUAUUAUACGGUUUUUUCGACAUCGAUGCAAAAGUUAUAGCGUUUUACUCUUUCAUAACACUUUUUUGCAAAACAUGUCAAAAUUUAUGUUUUUGAAUUUUCCUAACUAAUAGAUGUAGUAACAUAAAUACAUCUCGAAGGAUUUUAAUUUUCGAAGUUUUUAUCAUUUUCUUUCUUUUUUUAAAAACUAAAAUGGCGAUAGGGGGGGCAGCAUAAUGGACGAAGGCGGGGGUAACAUGUCGGAUGCGAUCAUACCAGCACUAAAGCACC